rnacentral:snoRNA from 1 species
UGGGACCCCACGGCUGCAAGCAGUUUCCUUGGUAGCAUACACAGCCUGUGGCUUAUUUGGGUUUUUCUAAGGAACCUUGGAGAGAGUC